rnacentral:tRNA from 1 species
GAAAUAUAAAAAUUAAGCUUCUAACUUAAUGUUUAGCAUUAAUAUGUUAAUAUUUCU